ACCCAAGGUGAUUCCUCUCCAAGGGGCUUCCUAGUGCCCCUCUUCAGGUAUGUAGCAACUUGGAAUGAAAUCUGGCAUGCCACAGGUUUUAGGGGGAGAGGGGAUGUUUAUUUCCUUUGCCUCCCUUGGCUGCCUACAUGG